rnacentral:lncRNA from 1 species
AUGGCAGCAGCUGCAGUGCAGGGUUGGGGUUUUUUAUUAUUUUUUUAUUUCAGGAGCAUCUCGCUGUACGGCAAGGUCACGGAAAGCACAGCAAGUACAGCGAUAGAUGCUGGGAGCUCAAUGGACCCGCCAAAGGCCAGGAGAGAAGGAAACCGAGCGAAUGAAACUAAGAAAGGAGGAGAGAACGGCUUACUGGGGGUCGCAUUCAGCCGGAGCAGCGGGACGGUGAAUGGAUGGGCGCCUGUCGAGAUGGAGGGGCUGUCGAUUAGAUUUCUCACAGCUCAGCGCCAGGUUUAAGCAGCGAGGCUUCUCCCAUCGUUCGCCAAGAAAACCCCUGAUGUGAGUGGAAAUCUACAAAUUUACUGCUACUGUUUGGAGUUGGGAACAAAACUUUGGUUUGUGUUCUGUGUUUUGUAGGUGAAACUUUUAGGGGUUAAAGGUCAGAGCUUUGCUUAUUGAAAAUACAGUUUAUGAAAAAACUAAUUUUCAAACAAAGAUUUGUAAGGCUUACAAUUUGUGCUUUUCUAGUUAAAUAUUAUAUAAUUUCUUUACCUUUUAAUUCAUUUUAAUUCAAAAUUAAAAGUAAUUCCUUCAAUUGAGGAACUUAUUCAAGGUUUUAUUUUUUUUCUACAAUAAAUACAAUACAUUUUCAUAAAUUGUAUUUUCAAUAUGUAUUUAUGUCUUUCUGCACCUGUAGAUUUCUCACUUGUUUACACUUACAAACAAUACAAAAUAAACUUUUAUUAGAUAUACAAUCUGAAAAAUCAUUUGAAACAUUUGAAGCCUAUAAAUCUUCAAACUUUAAUGCCUUUUAAGUUGUUUUUUUCAAGUAUUUAUAAAGACAACAUUUAAAUUUGGCCGAUUUUGUUGUUCUAGUAAAAACUGUUGUUAUUAUAAUUAUAAUAAUGGUUACCUUUUUUCAUUCUGCUUUUUGCACUCACUUAUGUUCUCUACCUAAAAUGUAAAAAUGUUAAUGUGUUUCAAUAAAUUGCAUUUUAAAUUAAUUUGGUUUUACUACACCUGCAGUUAUACACUUCUACAAGAAAAUACUCAUACCUGUAUCAAAUGUAGAAUCAUUGAAAAAUCAUUUAGAAAGUUUGAAACAUUAAAACUUUCAAACUUUAAGGCCUUUUAAGCUUUAACUUUCAAAAGACGCUUUGUAAAGCCAACAAAUCUUGAUCUCAAAUCUUGAUGAAUCUUUAAAUGUUUUUAUUUUGAAAGUUUGAGGCCUUUAAACCUUUUUAGAUACAAAAAAUCCAAAAAGCAUGACGCUUGCAACUCCAAGGUCAUGGGUUCGAUUCCCAGGGAGUGCAUGAACUGAU